GUCGUGAUGUGAUGUGCGUGACACAUUUUUGUGGGCACAUUUCUGAGAACAGCUCUUUCUGCCCCUUUCUUGUUGUGACACACUGAAAUCUUGAUAAGGAAAAGUAGAACGAUACACAGACAACACACCACAGCACACAGCCUCAACAAGAGUGGACGAGUCUCUGUGCUACGACUAAGAAGGCUCCUGACCGUCAAAUAAACUCAACACAAAGCAAAGCAGCAAGGGGAUCUUGUGGACUGGAUCACAAUCCAUUGAGCAGAAGGAACAGGAGCAAUCAAAAAAGAGUCAUCAGAGACACUUGUGGUGCAUCAACUUCAGAAAAUGUCUUCUCCAAACAGUGAAACAAGCAGAAACAACAACAAAUACAAAAACAAAGUUAUUAUUAAGACUGCUGCUCCAGUGAGCUUUUUGUUACUGACUUUUCAGGGGUUUAUGGGUAUAAAAUUUUCAUGCCCAUGCAGCAAUGGAUGGAACAUAGUUUUAACAUUACUAAUCUUGGUUGUGCCUGCCCUCUUUGGUUGGAUAAUGUUGUCACUAUUUUUAAGAUUUGAAGAACAAAAAAUUAGUGGAGGUGGAGGGUUCCAAACAGACAGCAGAGGAAGAUCUAAGUCUGAAAAAUGGCUUUAUCGUAUGAUUCGCUGCAUUCCACCUCUAGUGUGGUUCUGUAUAUUUUUCAUUGAUGGUGAUUAUUUGGCAUGUCUCACGACAACCUGGAAUGGACAGUACACCUGUGAUAAAAAUAUCCAUCCUAAUUGUGUGAGUUGGUGCAAACCUGAAUCAAGCAAUGGAAGAAAUGAGACUGAAACAUAUAACAAAACACAAUGGACAAAUAAUAUAUCAAAGGUAAUAGGUUACUGCCUGGCCUUGCUCUUCUGCUUCAUCGUCUUGAUCAUAAUGUGUGUGAGUAAAGACGAGAACAGAACUUCAUUGCGAAGGGACACCGUGUUAAACGGAGAAACUGGGACUGCCAUGAUAACCAGUGAAAGGGAGAUGAUGUUAACCCCUCAGAGGACCUCAGAUGAUGCCAACCCUGAAACAACAGACAGAACUACCACAUUUUGCUAUAAGUUUGAUUGCAUCAUAUAAUAAUUGCUGUUAAUAGUGUUCAUCGUCUGUUUUAUUACUAUUAUGCCAUUGUAUGACAUUUUUAUUGCAUGAUUAAUUGACCCUUUGCAGAGACCUGCCCCCUUCGUUACUGUUGCCAUGUCUGACAAGCCAUCCACUCUCACACCACACAUUAUGUUUUCACGCAGUGGAAAAUACAUUGCAGAGCAAACUGUAAAACUGUCUGACAAGACAGAGCAGGUUACUUUUGGCAUGAAACAAAGUCUGCGCUUUCAAAUGUUGUAAUUUUUAAAGAAAUUCAAAGAAUAAAUACGUUUUGUGGCUCUUUAAUAUGUCUGGUGAUUCAAAGAUUCAGCUUUAUGAUUGGUCAGAUUGCCUGUC
rnacentral:lncRNA from 1 species